rnacentral:sRNA from 1 species
AUAUAUGCGUGAGGGAUGGGAGUGGUAUCCUUUUUACUGUUUGUAGAGAAUUGGUUGGUAAUGAAAUAUUGUAGCAGUAAAAAGAUAUAGCGGACAGCCCGACCCCUU